rnacentral:lncRNA from 10 species
CUGGUCCAGUGUCAGCAGGUAGGAGGGUGACCAAUGAGGCCACUGGAGGAAUUCAAGCAGAUGACUGACAUAAUCUGAUUUUCAUUUGUGUCACUGCAUUGAGAGAAGAUUAGCAGGUAAUCAUAACAGUUUUUCCUGUGUAAGUGUCAUACAUGCCUCAUUGGGGAGGGGAAAUAGCACUGUGGAUUGGCUUCUAAGUUCAAAUCACACCUGUGCCACCUACUAGUUGUGUGACCUUGAAGAGGUAGGUUCAGUCUCUCCAUCCAACAGAGCCACCAAGCAGCAAUUGGCUGCUGGAGGAGAAACACAGUACAGCCACAUGGGGGCGCUCCUUCCUCUGGGAAGCGUUUCAAUGGGCAACGUUGAGUUCAGAGAGGACCUACCAGUGCAGGUUGAAAGGUUCAGAAGUUUGGAAGCAAGAAGGCAAUCAGCUUUCCCAUCCAGACCAAAAGUUUCAUACCCACUUUUUCCAUGAACCAAAGGGCACAGGGUGAACAGCCUGGCAUUCAGCAGCCCUCCCCGGGAAGUCCUGGCCAGAAAGGGGCAGGCUGGGGAACCGCAUUACCUGGUUUCUGAUGGAGCCACGACAGGAAGUUUAUAUGCCAAGGUGAUCAGAGCAGUGGCUGUGAAAGAUGCCAAGAACAGCAUGGCCCCAAGGAGGAUGAGGAUCUGUGUACUCCUGCAAAGAAGAGAGGAUACGGAGAGGAGUGCCCUUCAGUUUCUUGCCCCACACAUGCGCUUCCUAUGGCACGAAAGGCUGGAAAUCCUGACCAUCAGAGGUGGAAAGAACAUGUUCAUUUAGAACCAGGGCUUGGCUCCAGAUGAUGUUUUGUGGAGAACCCCAGAGUUCCCAUGGAUGAUUGACAUGGUCAAAAUGAGUUCCACAGACAGUCCAUGCUUGUGCCAGAUGAGAUGGUUACCAGUAUUUUUUUCGUCAAUGUGAGGAAGCGCCUGGGGGCAAUUCUCUCCAAAGGGCCCUGGCACCUCUGCUUUCAAGGAUCUAAGGUGGGCUCUACCUCAAAAAGGCCACUGGCUGGUAUCCUUGCCACUGCUUCCUGCAAGUGGCCCAAAUCAGUUUGCAUCAGGGAAAACAGCCCAGAUUAUCCCCUGGGUACCCCAUCACAGACAAGCGGGCCCUACCUGCAGGCAGGUAGCUGGUGAUGCAAGCCUGUCCAUAUGGCUGGGCCUUUGCAAAUGGAAGGCAGCCAUCUAGUUAGUCAGUUGUUACGUGCAAAGAUUAGGGCCCUGCCACGCUUUAGCGAUUCCCUUUUCAGCCUUGAUUUCAAGGCAUAUGUGGAAUUGGUGAUAUAAUUUCAUUACAGCUAUUUCACUUUCACUUGCUUCAAAUGCAUUACGAGGAAACUGGGGCUUUGGAGAAGCCAAGACGCACAUAGAUCUUGUUGCUCCAAAGCAACAAGAUCUUUGAACUUGAGUAGAAUUCCACAUAGUAAGGGUGUGAUGCGAUGUCCCAUUGCAGUAGAGACUCAACAGGCGGAGGUGAAUAAUUUGUCCUUUCCCGGUUGGGCAACAUGGGCUGGCACAAGAACAGUGAUGGGGCAGGGUCAGCUGCCUCCGGGACAUGUGCCAGGAUGACUGGCCCCUUGUUGGCCAAUGCUAUGCUCCCCUCCCUCUGCUGUUCACAGCGGCUGCCCUCUGCAUAGCCUGGUACGGUUACACCAACUGCAUGGCAAGAAGCCAUCCCCCACUCACACAGCCCACCUUCCUACAGCAUCACCAGUACUCCAGAGAAAAUACCAGAAUCAGGUUGGCCCUUGGAAAGUUCACCACACUGCUUGAAGAAAUGAGACUCCAGGUUUGCACCCUUCUGCCUUUUCAAAGCCAGCAACUUGAGACUCACCGCAUUCUUGACCGACACAAAGUUAUUUAGCAACAGCAGAUUCGUCCACCAUGCUUGCCGGCAGUUAUCCCAGUGGAAUUUGGGCAUUUCCCAGACAGGUCCCCAGGGAACAAGAGAGAACAGUCCAACCAACAAGCACAUUGAAUACAGGUGAAGAGGCUGCAACCUGGCAGGAGAGAACCGAGAGAAAGAAGGUGACUUUCCACCGGGGUCCCUCCAGUCAUCUCAGUGGGCACGUGGCGGGUGGGGCAUAAGGUGCUCUAAAACAGAUUGUUUGUACCGUGGGCAGCUGCCACCCAGCCACACCUCAAACGUUCAAGCAUCCACGAGUUCCAGAUCACUUACUGAGCACCUAUCAUGUACUGGCUCAGGUGCUACUGCUGCAAAAAUACUGCUAUUUAUUUCUCUUUUUUUAAGAGACAGGGUCUCACUCACUACGGCCCUGACUUCCACCUCCUGGGCUCAAGCGAUCCUCUCACCUCAACCUCCCAAUUAGCUAGAACUGCAGGCGCAUGCCACCAUGUUCCACUAAAAAUACUGUUAUUUAUUGAGCAAGUCAUAUAGGCCAACCACUGUGGGAGGAGCCUGCUAGAGAUUUCUAAACCUCAAAACAAUCCUGCAAGGUAGCUAUGACCUCCAUUUUAUGAAGAAAUUAUAGCUAAGAGAAGAUAGGGUGACUUGCCCAAGGUCACCAACCACAUAGCAGUACCAAGAUCUGACACUGGUUCAUGUUCUUUCCACAUGGCCUCACACGAUGAAAAACUCUUUCUUCCUUCCCUCCCUCACUUGCUUCAUUUCUCCCUUCCUUCACGCCCUACCUCCUCCAAGCAAGAUCUGAAGCAGCUACAAAGGGGAAGAAUCAGGAGUAAGGUGUCUAGACCAGCGCUGUUCAACAGAAACAGGAUGCAAGCACAGCUGCCCCCAGUUUUACACUUUCCAGCAGCCACAAUUUAAAAGGUAAAAAGAAAUAGGUACAAAUCAUUUUAAUGUUAUUUAUUUAGACCAAUAUAUCCAAAAUAUUAUCAUUACAAAUACGUACCCAAUAUGAAACAUUGUUAAUAAGCUAUUUGACAUUCUUUUCCCUUUUACUGAGUCUUCAGAGCCCAGUGUGGGCUUUGCACACAUAGCACAUCUCACUUACCCACUUACCUGGUGGCUAUUUGCUGGACAGUGUGGGUUUAGAGUUUAGAAAUGAGAUUGCAGCCUGGAGGCGCAUAUAAUACUGGCAUGGAUUCUGCAUGGGCUGGGGUCAGAGCCCUCUUCUAAAAGAAUAUAGCUAAAAAUCCAGGGUAGUUUUGGCUCAACUAGGGCAGAACAAUGGCCCAGCAGUACCUCCAGACACCUAGGUGAGAGGGUGGGGGCUGGGGUGGUGGUCACAGAUGGGAACUGGCAGGACUUGGAGCGUCUCCACUUAGAGGUACAUCCCCAGCAGAGAGGGGCUCAGCACCAAGCCUCUGGUCUGCACCUGGGGACGGAGACCAUUGAUUCCCCUGUUCUCCCCACAAUGAGAACGUCCUACAUAGAGAGUGUCCGGUGGGUGGGAGGGCGGUAGGCAUUCUAGGAGAGGGAGUGGAAUUGUUGAUCAAUGUCAUACAGAAAAGGCAGGCAACUCUGUCAAGACACAGCUUCCCAGAUCAGCUCGCCUGCGGGUUUGCUCAGGCAACAGCCUCCCUGGGUCCUAGGCACUGGGUCCUGCCAUGUUUGCCAUCUGACCAUGCUGCCCCGCAGCUGCCCCUACAAGCCUCCGGCCCCGCCUUUUUGAUCAUCCUUCCCACCAUCUGUCACCUCCCCUCCCCGGGGAAAGUAGCCAGCGCUGCUCCCUUCAGAAGGAGAGCAGAAGGGAGCAUUCCCCUGCCCCCCACUCCAGGCAGCAUCCCUCACCUCUGCCAAAUCCCCCCUCCCCAGGGUGCUUGUUAAAAUGCAGACUUGGAGUCUGCAGGCUGUUGGGUGGGCCACGCCUUGAGUAGCAAGUUCAUCUAAACUUUUCACACUGAGAAAAUCAUGUAAUGUCUCCUCUUUCCUCUCCUCUAAAAGGGAAAUGAGGGUUUCUGCUUUCUAAGAUUUUUUUGAAAAUCUAACAAGAAAACAGUUUGAAAUAUUUAAACCACCCUCAAAUAUACAGGUGCUACAUUUUUGUCCAAGUUUCCAAGAGAAUAAAAGUCAAAGUGGGUUUUCAAAGAUUAAAAUGUGGGAUACUGGCCAGUGUGGUGGAGGGGUGAGAAGCAGGGAUUCUCAUACCUGGUGGGUGGGAAGGUAAAUUGGAAAAUGCACAUUAAAUGUUAAAUGCCCAAAACCCCCCAUUCCACUUGUAGGAAUUUAGCCCACAAACAUGUCUAUACAAGUGCACAAAAAUAUAUAGAGAUUAUCCCAUUGUCUAAGACAGCAAAGAAUUUGGACAUUAGCUCCAUGUCCACUAAUGGGGACAAGUUAAAUACAUAAUGGUACCCCACUGUGCCAUACUGAUAACCUUUAACAUCAGGGAUGUGGGUUCUUGUGUGCUUAUAGAGAAAUAGGCCAAUUCUGUAUUAUAAAUGAAAACACCACGUACAAACAGUGAAGUAUAUACUGCAAUCCUAUGCGUGCAGGAGAAGAACAGUGCUUAUAAAUACAUGGAAAGAUUCUGCAAGAAUUCCUAAGAAACUGUUAAAUACAGGUGUCCUGGGGGGAGUGAGACUAGAAGGGGGACCCUUUAUUUUAGUUAUAAGCUUCUGUUAUAGUUAGACAUUUUUAUCACAAGGUAUAAAAAAAAAAAAACCCUAAUUUUUAAAAUGUAGCUGCUAGUUGACAUAACCAGGCAGUUCUACAGUUCUAGAGCUUUACUCUCUUCCUUUCCUGUUAGAUAAUCUCUGUCCUGACUUACCCCUAGAAGUUGGGUUUGGGGAUUUUCUUAUAACUUGCAAUAGCUCCCAAAUGGUCUCCCCCUAUCUGGACCUUACAGCCAUUCUCUGCCCUGCAGCCAGAGUGAGUCUUGCAAGAUGUAAAUCUGCCCAUGCCACUCCCUUGCUGGGACCCUUCAGAGGUUUAUGUCUCAGAACAACAGGGAGAGUCCUUAGGGCAGCCUCCGCCCGUCUCUGACCUCAUUCCUCCCACUGUCCACGUGGCUCACUUCACUCCACACAACACCUUUGGGCUCUUUGAGGCUCUUCACACACUGCGACGCCCCUCCUUCCCCAGGACCUUUGUGAUUCGGUUCUCCCGGAAUGGACCAUUCUUCCCCCACAGGAUUUUCUUUGCUUAGAACAUUCCUUUAUUUUCUUCUGGGCUCUGGCCAAAAGUCACCUCCCCUGACUGCCCUUCCAGAGAAAGCCUCCAGCUUGCUUUCUUCUUUUAUUUAUUUAUUUAUUUGGGCAAAGUCUCGUUCUGUCGCCCAGGCUGGAAGGCAGUGGUGCGAUCACGGCUCACUGAAGCAUCCGCCUCCUGGGCUCAAGCAAUCCUCCCACCUCAGCCUCCCAAGGAGCUGGGACCACGGGCACGUGCCACCACACCAGGCUAAUUUUUUGUAUGUUUUGUAGAAAUGAGGUCUCACUAUGUUGGCCAGGCUGGUCUCAAACUCCUGGGCUCAGGGGAUCGUCCCACCUUUGCCUCCCAAAGUGCUGGGAUUGUAAGGCGUGAGCCACUGCACCCAGCCUCUUCUCCAAAUGAUCACUUUGUGGCACCCAUCCUCCCUGGCCUAGCAUACAUUUAUUUGCAUGCUGCAACUUCAAAUUGCAUAUUCAUUUAUUUAUUGUCUGCCUGUAUUCACUGGAAUGUAACCUGAGGGCUGGAAGGCACAUUUGCAUGGCUUAUUAAAACUCUGUUCUCAGGGCUUAGGACAGCGCCUAGCACAAAAUGGGCCUCAGAAUGAGUGAAUGAACAGAUGGUCUGACCCCUGUCCUCCUGGAGAUAAGCAGACAAGUGAUAAGUGCUAACCAGGUAGCAUCAGUGAGUUAUACCAGCACACAUGAGAACCUCAAAAUGGCCAGGAUCAUGACUGUUUUUUCACUGGGGUUACCUUAGUGAGGGUGAGUUCAACUUGUGGGUUUGUGACAGUUCCCUCCAUUUUCAAAAAAAUUUUUUCCCAGGUUGGACUGAUUGUCUCCCUAGGCUCCCACUCUGACCUGCCUCCCUUCCAGAGUUCCCCAGCUCAAGAAUGCCAGCACCACCUGCCAUGUUGCUCAAGCCAGAAAAUUCCUGAGUCCUUGAUUUCUCCUCUCUCCAUUCCCACUGCCAAUUGCCAGUGCAAACCCUGCUCUCCUGCCCAGACACUGCAGUAAUUUACUCACUGGGGUCCUUGUCUUACAAGGUCUCACUACCACCCAACUCUCACCCCGUGCUCCUCCUGCCCCUACCACUGCUCUAUCCACCUUGAAAAAACCCCUCUCUCCUCAAUCCCCAGCUCCAGACUUUUACUCUGAAGUAGGUUUCCCAAGGCUGGAUGCAGUGGCUCACACUUGUAUUCCUAGCAUUUUGGGAGGCCAAAGCGGACAGAUUAUCUGAGGUCAGGAGUUUGAGACCAGCCUGGCCAACACAAAAAACCCUGUCUCUACUAAAAAUACAAAAAUGAGCCAGGCAUGGUGGUGGGUACCUGUAAUCCCAGCUACUCAGAAGGCUGAGGCAGGAGAAUCACUUGAACUCAGGAGGAAGAGGUUGCAAUGAGCCAAGAUCGUGCCACUGCACUCCAGCCCGGGCGAUAGAGCAAGACUCCAUCUCAAAAAAUAAAUAAAUAGGCCAGGGAUGGUGGCUCAUGCCUGUAAUCCCAGCACUUCGGGAGGCCGAGGCAGGCGGAUCACCUGAGGUCAGGAGUCCAAGACCAGACUCAUCAAUAUGAUGAAACCCCGUCUCUACUAAAAAUACAAAAAUUAGGGGGUCAUGGUCGUGCAUGCCUGUAAUCCCAGCUACUCGGGAGGCUGAGACAGGAGAAUUGCUUGAACCCGGGAGGCGGAGGUUGCAGUGAGCCGAGAUCGUGACAUUGCAGUCCAGCCUGGGCAACAAAAGCGAAACUCCAUCUCAAAAAAUAAAUUAAAUAAAUAAAUAAAAUAAAAUAAAAUAAAAUAAAAAAGUUGGUUUCCCAAGCAGAACCCACCAUGCCAUUAGAUCCCCUGCCCCAACCCCCACCUAACCCCUCUGAGCAUUUAUCACCAUGACCCCUCAUCCUGUAUGCCAGCCUCUCACCUCCAGAAAACCUCAGGGCAGGACAGGCUGCUUACCCCAGUGCCACACACCCAAAAUAUAUUGAAAUCAUAAGCCUUCUGCCCUUCCCUGGAGGAGGGUUAGAUUUUAUAAAGCUUGGAAGAAACCACAAAGACUGUGGUGAAAAGAAACCAACAAAGGUCUAUUCCUUAGCUUCUCCCCAUUCUUCACCUAUUUGAUGGAAAGCUUAAAAGGUAUAAAUAACCACCACGCUAAUAAUGAUAGCUCCUACGUAUUGAGGGCUUACUAUGUAUAAAGCACCCUUCCAAGUUCUUUACAUACAUUAUCUCAUUGAAUCCUCACAAGAGUCCUGUGAUGUGUCACUAUUCUUCCCAUUUUAGAGAUGAGCAAAUGCAAGCACAGAAAGACUGAGAGAGACACUUAACUCAAGGUCACACCGCUGCUAUGUGAUUGAGCCAGAAUACACGCUCAGCAGUCCAACUACAGAGUCUGCACUUGCCCACUGCAUUUCACUAGUCCCAAAGAUUAUGACAACACUCCUCUUCCUAUUUUGUGACAGUGUGGUAUAACAAGAUGAACGUGAACCAGGAGUCAGGAGUGCUGGCUUCCAGCUCAGCAAAUAACCACGACAUAGAAAAUAUAUCAAUGGCAGGGUUGGAUGACAUGAGCUGAAGUUUCCUUUUCUCCCUUAACUUUGUUGUUUUUUUUGUUUGUUUGUUUUGAGACAGGGUCUCACUCUGUUGCCCACGCUGGAGUGCAGUGGCAGGAUCUUGGCUCACUGCAACCUCCACCUCCGGAGUUCAAGUGAUUCUCCCACCUCAACUUCCCGAGUAGCUGGGAUUACAGUCGUGUGCCACCACGCUCAGCUAAUCAUUUGUAUUUUUGGUAGAGAAAGGGUUUCACCAUGUUAGCCAGGCUGGUCUCAAACUCCUCACCUCAAGUGAUAUGCCCCCCUCAGCCUCCCAAGGGCCUCCCCAAAACGCCUGAGAUUACAGGCAUGAGCCACUGUGCCCAGCCCUUCCUCCCUUAACUUUGGUUGUCUCAUUCUGUCACUGCCACUCUGCUACCACCGAUUCCGUAUUCUGCCCCAGUGUUGGAAUCCCUUCUGCAUCAACCAACCACACAUUCCUAAAGGAGACCGUCAGCUAGGCACGGUGGCUCACGCCUGCAAUCCCAGGACUUUGGGAGGCCGAGACAGGCAGAUCACGAGGUCAGGAGUUCAAGACCAGCCUGGCCAACAUAGUGAAACCCCGUCUCUACUAAAAAUACAAAAAAAAAUCAAAUCAAAUAUUAGCCAGUCAUGGUGGCGGGCGCCUGUAAUCCCACCUACUCAGGAGGCUGAGGCAGGAGAAUUGCUUGAACCCAGCAGGCAGAGGUUGAAGUGAGCAGAGAUGGCGUCACUGCACUCCAGCCUGGGUCACAGUGCGAGACUCUGUCUCAAAAACAAAAAAAAAAAAAAAAAAAAAAGGAGAUCGUCAUUCUUCCUGCCUCCCUCCCAGCAGAAUGGCCAUGGCCCAGAGCUUCAACCAAGUUCCUUUCCUGGUCACGUACUGUUUUAUUUUUAUCAUUACCAUUAGCACUCUGAUUUAUAGGAUCCAAUUACUACUAAUUUGCAGACAAACAAAUUUUCCUGUUGAAUACAGAUUCCAUGGAAAUCUGACAGUGCAUUUAUUGAACUCUGCUGCCCAUCAGCUGAGGACUAAGGAUGUUUUUGCCAGUGGAACAUACCAGUUUUCAUGGUAUUUGUCCCAGUAGAAUUUGAUCCAUAUUAAACCAGCUUAAAUCAACUGUAUUUAGGGAAGAAAACUAUUUCUUUCAGUUUAUUUUUCUUUGGAAAUUCUUUGAAAAGAGGGUUAAAGACAGAAAACUAAUAAAUCGUUACAUAGCAAUGAGGAAUUGAGAAAUUAAGUAAAUAAACCUACUGUCAGGCCUCUGAGCCCAAGCUAAGCCAUCAUAUCCCCUGUGACCUGCACAUAUACAUCCAGAUGGCCUGAAGCAACUGAAGAUCCACAAAAGAAGUGAAAAUAGCCUUAACUGAUGACGUUCCACCAUUGUGAUUUGUUUCUGCCCCACCCUAACUGAUCAAUGUACUUUGUAAUCUCCCCCACCCUUAAGAAGUUUCUUUGUAAUUCUCCCCACCCUUGAGAAUGUACUUUGUGAGAUCCACCCACUGCCCCCCGCAAAACAUUGCUCCUAACUCCACCGCCUAUACCAAAACCUAUAAGAACUAAUGAAAAGCCCACCACCCUUUGCUGACUCUCUUUUCGGACUCAGCCCACCUGCACCCAGGUGAAAUAAACAGCCUUGUUGCUUGCACAAAGCCUGUCUGGUGGUCUCUUCACACGGACACACGUGACACCUACCUUACCAGGUGACUGAGAAAGUAUCUGAGUAUGCCUUUGGGGGUUAUUCCUUUGUCUGAAUUCUGAUGCAUCUUUAAAAACGAACUUGCACUUAACCAACCACUAAAAGAAAAAGAAGAAUUGUCG